rnacentral:rRNA from 1 species
UACGUAGGGUGCAAGCGUUGUCCGGAAUUAUUGGGCGUAAAGAGCUCGUAGGCGGUCUGUCGCGUCGAAUGUGAAAACCCGGGGCUCAACUCCGGGCCUGCAUUCGAUACGGGCAGACUAGAGUUCGGUAGGGGAGUCUGGAAUUCCUGGUGUAGCGGUGAAAUGCGCAGAUAUCAGGAGGAACACCGGUGGCGAAGGCGGGACUCUGGGCCGAUACUGACGCUGAGGAGCGAAAGCAUGGGGAGCGAACAGG